UGCGGCAGUAGUUCAGUGGUAGAACGUCUCCUUGCCAAGGAGAAGGNNCUUCGAGUUGAUCGAACCGCCCAUCCA
rnacentral:tRNA from 1 species